rnacentral:rRNA from 1 species
AUUGAACGCUGGCGGAAUGCUUUACACAUGCAAGUCGAGCGGCAGCGCGGCCUUCGGGCUGGCGGCGAGCGGCGAACGGGUGAGUAAUGCAUCGGAACAUGCCCAGUCGUGGGGGAUAACACCUCGAAAGAAGUGCUAAUACCGCAUACGUCCUGAGGGGGAAAGCGGGGGAGCGCAAGACCUCGCGCGAUUGGAGUGGCCGAUGUCAGAUUAGCUAGUUGGUGGGGUAAAGGCCUACCAAGGCGACGAUCUGUAGCUGGUCUGAGAGGAUGAUCAGCCACACUGGGACUGAGACACGGCCCAGACUCCUACGGGAGGCAGCAGUGGGGAAUUUUGGACAAUGGGGGCAACCCUGAUCCAGCCAUUCCGCGUGAGUGAAGAAGGCCUUCGGGUUGUAAAGCUCUUUCGGCAGGAACGAAACGGUGGGCUCUAACAUAGUCCGCUAAUGACGGUACCUGAAGAAGAAGCACCGGCUAACUACGUG